UACAGAGGAGCCAAGCGUUGUCCGGAUUGACUGGGCGUAAAGCGCACGCAGGCGGCCGCGCGCGUGGGGUGUGAAAUCUGGCCGCUUAACGGCCAGGCGCCAUCCCAUACGGCGCGGCUGGAGCCAUGCAGAGGGCGGUGGAAUUGCCGGUGUAGUGGUGAAAUGCGUAGAGAUCGGCAGGAACACCCAGGGGGAAACCAGCCGCCUGGGCAUGCGCUGACGCUGAGGCUGCGAGAGCGUGGGGAGCGAACCGG
rnacentral:rRNA from 1 species